rnacentral:rRNA from 1 species
GAUGAACGCUGGCGGUAUGCCUAACACAUGCAAGUCGAACGGGCUUUUCGGAGCUAGUGGCGGACGGGUGAGUAACGCGUGAGAAUCUGCCUUCAGGAUGGGGAUAACAGGGAGAAAUCGCUGCUAAAACCCAAUGUGCCGAAAGGUGAAAUACUUGUAGCCAGAAGAGGAGCUCGCGUCCGAUUAGUUAGUUGGUGGGGUAAGAGCCUACCAAGGCAGCGAUCGGUAGCUGGUCUGAGAGGAUGAGCAGCCACACUGGGACUGAGACACAGCCCAGACUCCUACGGGAGGCAGCAGUGGGGAAUUUUCCGCAAUGGGCGAAAGCCUGACGGAGCAAUACCGCGUGGGGGAGGAAGGCUUUUGGGUUAUAAACCUCUUUUGUUAAGGAAGAAGAAAGUGACGGUACUUAAAGAAUAAGCAUCGGCUAACUCCGUGCCAGCAGCCGCCGUAA